GCGGAGUGCGGGGGAUGUAGUUCCGGUUGGGAGGGGCGUGGCUGAGGACUGUGAAGCAAUCGGGGCGAGGCCGGGUGUCUGUUCAACUCUCCCGCGUAUCGUCUGUUUCUUCGGCGGCGGACAGUGUUCUGUAAUGUGUCUCCCGUUGCCCGAGCUAAAGGUUUUCCUCGACGGAGUCUUUAGAAUACCGUGGUAGAGGCAGUCUCCACACCACUGUGCUCGAACAGCUCUAUGAAGAGGCCUAUGUGGAGAGGAGAAAAAGCCUCCACCAACAGCCAGCACCAACUUGCCAGCCAUAUAUGAACUCUCGCUAUGUUGCCUCGGCUGGUCUCAAACUCCUGGGCUCAAGUGAUCCUCCCACUUCGGCCUCCCAAAAUGGCGUCUUGCUCUGUCACCCAGGCUGGGGUGCAGUGGUGUGAUCUCAGCUCACUGCAACCUCUGCCUCCUGGGUUCAAGCAAUUCUUCUGCCUCAGCCUCCCAAAGAGCUGUGAUUACAGACGUGUGCCACAAUACCCGGCUAAGUUUUGUAUUUUUAUUAUUAUUUUAUUUAUGUGUUUAUUUAUUUAUUUAUUUAUUUAUUUUGAGAUGGAGUCUUGCUGUGUCGCCCAGGGUGGAGUGCAGUGGUGCGAUCUCUGCUCGCUGCAGCCUCUGCCCCCCAGGCGAUUCUCCUGCCUCAGCCUCCCGAGUAGCUGGGAUUACAGGUGCCCGCCACCAUACCCGGCUAAUUUUUGUAUUUUUAGUAAAGACAGGGUUUUGCCAUGUUGGCCAGGCUGAUCUCGAACUCCUGACCUCAAGUGAUCUGUCUGCCUUGGCCUCCCAAGGCAGGGAGCCUGCUGGGAUUACAGGCAUGAGCCACCACGCCCAGUCAAAAUGUUUUAAAUGUUUCUAUACCACCAUCUGUGUCAAAGAGCAAAUGGUCUCUCUGCAGCUGGAACAACAAAAACUCAAAUGGUCCACACAGUGGUUCAUACCUAUAAGUCACCAAACCUAAACUAAGUUGUUAUCUGACCUUCUGGAAAUGAGAAGAGAUAGAUAACUGCCAGUUUCCCAAACAGGCCAGUUUAAAUCUUCCUGUAAGCAUGAUAAGGAAGUUCCCUCUGAUUUAAUCCUUACACACGAAAAAGUAGCCUUAAAUAACCUGAUAUUAACUCAUCAGUUUUAUUUUUAUUUAUUUAUUUUUUUUUGAGACAAUGUCUUGCUCUGUCACCCAGGCUGGAGUGCAGUGGCACAAUCUCGGCUCACUGCAAUCUCCGCCUCCCGGGUUCACGCCAUUCUCCUGCCUCAGCCUCCCGAGUAGCUGGGACUACAGGUGCCUGCCACCACACCCGGCUAAUUUUUGUAUUCUUAGUAGAGAUGGGGUUUCACCGUGUUAGCCAGGAUGGUCUCGAUCUCCUGACCUUGUGAUCCACCCCCCUCGGCCUCCCAAAGUGCUGGGAUUACAGGUGUGAGCCACCGCGCCUGGCCACUCAUCAGUUAUUUUUCUAUCAUUUUGUCUUUCUGUCCCCACUUUACAAGAAAAGUGACUUUGAAAGGACUAAUAACAUUAUUCGUUUUUUGCUUCUGCUUUCUUCAGCCCUUCUCUGUCUGUAAAGCCAGCUUCUUUUGCACAGCUCACUGCAACACUUAUUUUUAUUUGUAUUUUUAUUUUUUGAGACAAUGUCUCACUCUGUCACCCGGGCUGGAGAGUGGAGAGUACUAAUGCAGUCUUGGCCCACUGCACCUUCACCCUCCUCAACUCAAGCAAUCUUCCUGCCUCAACUUCCCUGGCAGCCAGGACUACAGGCUUGCACCACUAUACCCAGCUAAUUUUUAAAAUUUUUUUUUUUGUAGAGACAGGGUCUUGCUAUGUGGGCCAGACUGGUCUCAAACUCCUGGCCUCAAGGGAUCCUUCUUCCUUGGCCUGCCAAAGUGCUGGGAUAGAAUAAGUGUGCCGGGGCCACCAUGCCCAGGCCACCACACCUGGCCCACUUAUUCUAUUUUAUGGAAUGAAGUGUUACCCAAUUCUGGCUUUUUUUGAGACAGGGUCGUGCACCGUUGCUCAGGCGGGAAUGCAGUGGCACGAUCUUGGAACACUCCAACCUCCACCUCCAAGGCUCAAGCCAUCUUCCCACCUCAGCCUCCCGAGUAGCUGGGGCCACAGGCGUGUGCCACCACAUCCAGCUAAUUUUUGUAUUUUUUGUAGAGAUGGGGUUUUGCCAUGUUGCCCAGGCUGGUUUGGUCUCAAACUCCUGGUCUCAAGCCAUCCACCCACCUUGGUCUCCCAAAGUGCUGGGAUUACAGAUGUGAACCAACAUGUCCAGCCUUUUUUUUUUUUUGAGACAAAUUCUGGCUCUGUCACCCAGACUGGAGUGCAGUGGUGCCAUCUUGGCUCACUGCAACCUCCACCUCCGAGGCUCAAGCAAUUCUCUCACCCCAGCCUCCUGAGUAGCUAGGACCACAGGUGCUCACCACCACGCCUGGUUAACUUUUGUGUUUUUUGUAGAGAUGGGGUUUUGCCAUGUUUCCUAUGCUGGUCUGGAACUCAUGAACUCAACAGAUUGUCCCACCUCAGCCUCUCAAAGUGCUGGGAUUACAGCUCAAAGCACCUGUCAUAAAAAUAUUAACUUGUAAUAAAAGUGUUUAGUAACACUAAUAUGUGAUGGCAAUUUCAGGAAAGUCAAUGUUCUGAGCAAGAAGAACAAGGAACAGAAGGUAUAAUGAUAACAGAUGAGAGAGGAAAAAGCAGACUCAAUCAACUCCUACUUUUCCAUCAUUUUUCCGUUACAGAGAAUUAUCCUCAAAUUAGAAGGAGUAGGACCUACAUGGUAAAGAAAAAAUUUACGUGCAAGGCAGAUGAGGAAGUAAGAGAGCAUCCAGCCCCUUCACACAACUUCAUUCUCUGUCUUACCGAAAGAAUGUGAAAUGUGGUGGUAGCUUUACUGGGGACAGGAGAGGUGCCAGAAGUUUGAAGAUGGACUAAUCUCCUUGUUUUCUAAAAGAAGAACCUAUAAGUCUCUGAGCACAUUUUUCUUUGGCAAAAUUCUGGAAUGGAUAAUUAGACAAAUGGUUUGUGAAUCUUUAGAAAAGUGGCAAAAACAAGGCACAGCAUAAAUUCACUAAAAAAUAA
rnacentral:lncRNA from 1 species